GGGAGACCAUUUUGUUUCUGCUGAAGACGCUGUUGGGGCGUUGGAAUUGAGUUCCUCCCCGAGACUCGGCAUGGUGAGGAAAGAUUUCCACGGGUGAAGAAAUCGACGCUGGAUAGCCUGACUUAUGCAAAGUUCCUCACCAGCCAAGUAGCAAAAAAAAAACACAUGAGGCUCAAUGAUCACAAAAUGCUGGAGAAGCUCAGGCAGGACCUAUGGAAAUGACAUUUCGAGCUGAGACACUCCACCAGGAUUGAAAAGGAAGCAUCUGCAGAUUUCCUCGUGUCUGCGUUUUUAAAUAAGAUUACAGCUGAGCUUUCAAAGGUCACUUGUUAAAAUCACAAAGAAGAGGAGUCCCUUAACAGAUCACUACAGAACACCACUGGUCACCAACCUCCAUGCAGAAUACGAACCAUCUACAACCACCUUUUGCCAUCUGUGGGCAAGCCAAUUCUGGAUUCACAAAGCAAGGUCUUCUUGGAUCCCCUGCCUGAUUACUUUCUGAAUGAGCCUUGCAUGGGGAACUUUUAACAAAUGCCUUACUGAAAUCCAUAUACACUACAUCCACUACUCUGCCUUCAUCAAUAUGUUUUGUUACAUCCUUAAAGAAUUCAAUCAGGCUCAUAGUGCAUGACCUGCCCUUGACAAAGCCAUGCUGACUAUUCUUAAUCAGAUUAUGUCUCUCCAAAUCCUCAUAAAUCCUGCCUUUGAGGAUCAUUUCCAACAACUUGCCCACCACUGAAUUAAGUCUUUCUGGUCUAUUAUUUCCUGGGUUAUCUCUACUCCUUUUCUUGAAAAAGGGAACAACAUUUGCAACCCUCCAAUUUUCCGGUACCUCUCCCACCCCUAUUGAUGAUGCAAAGAUCAUCAGCAGGGGCUCAGCAAUCUCUUCCCCCACUCCCACAGUAGCCUGGGAUAUAUCGCAUCUGGUCCCGGCGACUUAUCUAACUUAAAGCUCCAGCACAUUCUCUUUCUGAAUACCUAUAUGCUCAAGCAUUUCAGUCCACAGUAAGUCAUCACCACAGAUGCCAAGGUCCUUUACCCUGGUGAAUACUGAAACAAAGUAUUCAUUAAGUACCUCUGCUACCUCCUUUGAUUCCAUGCACACGUUUCUACUAUCGCAGCUGAUUGGUCCUAUUUUCACAUGGGUCAUCUUCUUGCUCUUCUCAUAUUUGUAGAAUGCCUUUGGGUUCUCCUUAACCCUGCUCACCAAGGUCUUCUCAUGGCCCCUUCUAGCUCUCCUAAUUUCAUUCAUAAACUCCUUCCUGGCAACCUUGUAAUUUUCUAGAACUCUAUCAGUACUUAGUUUCUUGAACCUUUUGUAAGCUUUUCUUUUCUUCUUAACUAGAUUUUCCACAUCCUUUGUACACCAUGGUUCUUUUACCCUAUCAUCUUUUCCCUGUUUCCAUGGAACAUUCUUAUGCAGAAUGUCAUGCAAAUGUUCCCUGAAUAUUUGCCACAUUUCUGCCAUCUGCUCCCAAUUUAUGCUCCCAAGUUUCUGCCUAAUAGCAUUAUUUUCCCCUACCCCAAUUAUAUGUUUUUGCAAAUUGUCUGCUCCUAUCCCUUUCCAGUGCUAUGGUAAAGGAGACAGAACUGUGAUCACUACCUCCAAAAUGCACUCCCACUGAGAGAUCUGACACCUGACCAUGUUCACUCCCCAAUACCAGAUCAAGUACAACUUCUCCCCCAGUUGGCUUAUCUACAUAUUGUGUCAGGAAACUUGCCAGAACACACCUAAGAAACUUUACCCCAUUUAAACCCCUUGCUCUUAGGAGUUGAGAAAGUGGAACUGCCCCAGUGCAACUGCUUUUCCCACUUUAAACCCUCUCCAGUACAGGUUCCUGUCAUUGUCUGAUACAAUGGACAACCACCAGACAGACCUGACUAAGCCUCUAGGCAGUGUUACUUUUUGGAAUUUCUGUUCUUUUGAUGAUAUUAUUUAUAUUAAAUUAGCCAGUCUGCACGCUGAAUUGUCAAUCUAAAGUGGUGGUUCCUAAAUUUAAUUCCAACAUUAGGCUGUGUACAUCAUUCUAAAUAACCCAGUAAAAAUUCUUGCUUUUUUUUUUGCUGAAGUGACCAUCAUUCAAGUAAGCAGCUGAACAAUUCUCCAGAAGCCAGGACUUUCCCUUCAGUAUUGUCCUAGAGGGAUGCGAAAGGGUCAAUUUCUGAGCUUCCAUUAGUAGAAAUUAGCUGAGCAAAAACAUGUCCACAAAACAGAGUAAGGUAACAAGGCACAUUUUUUUUCCAAGUCGCAACUAAUUCCAGAGACUGAAAGGCAAAACUGUAGAAAUUGAAAAUCCGAAGGUAAAAAUAGAAUAUCUUCAGCAGGUGAGGCACCAGCUGUGGAAAUAGAAACAGACCACACUUCAGUUCAGAUACCUUUUGUCAGAACAUUAGACUCUUCAGUUGUGUCUAUGCAACUACAUUUCAACUAAAUAAAGAUAUACACAUGGAGGUGACCUUAACUGGUGUAUUCACAUUACAAUGAAAGAGAGAAAAGAACAGAUUAAUACGCAUACAUAGACAACAAAUCAGUGCAUUUGUGUAGUUAUCAGUUCAUAAUCAGUGCUAAGGGGAGUCAUUGUGCUAAAAGAAAUAAUUCAUACAUUACACUUCUUCCUGCUUUAGACUAAUGUAACAUAAAGCUAUAUGUACUAAAGCAUUCAAUUUCUGUUUAACAGAUUAUGCUAAAAUAAACAUGCUUUCACAAUAACAGUUCCAUAACUAACUUCACUAUAUGAAAGAUUUAGUCUUUUGGCUAGCACUCUGCUUCUUUCAGGAUAGGACUUUGGACCU